rnacentral:tRNA from 1 species
GUAAAAUUAGUUUAAAUAAACUACUAAGUUGUCGGCUUGGAGAAAAAGGUUUAUUUAUUUUACU